UAACCACUCAAGCCUGGCUUGGUAUUGGGGUUCGCGGGUUCGCGGCCCUUAAAAUCAGUGGCGGUGCCGUCUGGCUCUAAGCGUAGUAAAUCUCUCGCUAUAGGGUCCUGGCGGUUGCUUGCCAAAACCCCCCUAUUUUCUCA
rnacentral:misc_RNA from 1 species